UACGUAUGGUGCAAGCGUUAUCCGGAUUUACUGGGUGUAAAGGGAGCGCAGGCGGCGCGUUAAGCCUGGUGUGAAAGCCCGCGGCCCAACCGCGGGACUGCAUUGGGAACUGGCGCGCUGGAGUGCCGGAGGGGUAGGCGGAAUUCCUAGUGUAGCGGUGAAAUGCGUAAAUAUUAGGAGGAACACCAGUGGCGAAGGCGGCCUACUGGACGGUGACUGACGCUGAGGCUCGAAAGCGUGGGGAGCAAACAGG
rnacentral:rRNA from 1 species